GUCCUGGAACCUCUAGGGUGGGGCUCACUUUCCUGCAUGCUUCUCUCAAGUCAUACCAAAUGAUAUUGCAUCUGCUGAUGGCAACCUAAUCAACGCAACGAGUGCCACCUCAGUGUGCUUCACUUCAGAUUGUGUCCAGAGACAUCAGGUGUGGAAUGACAACCCUCAUUACUCAGUUCCUUCCAAAGCAAGUUCUUAAAGCUGUGAUUGACAUUUGUCUCAUGAAUCCUCUCAGGACAUUGUGUAAGCUGUGGUUCCAGAUGCUAACAUGAUGCCGACCAGACUUCCCUGGACAGACAACCCCACCAAUGUGUCCUGGAGCUCUGCUUCCCACUAGGGAAAGAGAGUGGGAAGAGCCCUUCCCACUAGGAAAAGAGAGAGACAGGCUGGGAGUAUGGAUCGACCUGUCAAUGUCCAUGUUCAGUGGGGAAGCAAUUACAGAAGCCAGACCUUCCACCUUCUGCAUCCUACAAUGACCUUGGGUCCAUACUCCCAGAGGGAUAAAGAAUAGGGAAGCUGUCAGGGGAGGGGAUGGGAUACUCAGUUCUGGUGGUGGGAAUUGUGUGGAGUUGUACCCCUUGUAUCCUAUGGCUUAUUCAAUGUUUCCUUUUUAUAAAUAAAAAAUUUA